UAAAAACGUGGAUUGUAGCUAAAGAAGAUGGAGAGGUUGUUACAGCACACUGUAACUGUAUGGCUGGUUUGUCAGAAUCCUGCUCACAUGUUGGAGCAGUUCUGUUUGCAAUCGAAGCAGGUGUGAAGAUGAGAGAGACUGCAUCCUGCACCACUGAGAAGUGCAAGUGGCUAAUGCCAUCACAUGUCAAAAAGAUUCCUGCUGCUCCAGUUGCGAUGAUAGACUUUUCAUCCGCAAAAUCCAAAAAGCAAAAACUGGAUGAUGCCAUUGCUGGAAGGACAGGUGAGAAGCACACAUUUCAGCGUCCCACAGUCCAGGGUUCAAAAUUGGAGCGAGGAUCAGAGAGGUAUAUGCAGUUUUUCAAGACUUUGAGCAGAAAUUCCCCAAGAGGAGGCCAA